rnacentral:lncRNA from 1 species
GGGCGACGGUGGGGGUGGGGGGAGGUGCGGAGCGGGCAUCGGUUGGAGCAGGUUUCACAGAGCAGAGCGUUUGAGGGCCUCUUUUUGGAGGAUUGGUUUCACCCAGUGAAAUUCUGGACCUGAGGGGCUGAAUGUUUGUUGGCCUCCUGACUCGCAAAGGACAGUUGUGUGAGGGGGGUGACAGUUAGGAAUGAUUUGGGGGUAAAUCUGUGGGUGGGGUUAGGGGUCCCUCUGAGGAGCCCUGGACAAUGGGCAUCUCCAAAAUAAGGCGGAAGUUCUCUGAGUUGAGACAAAGGAGGAAAAGGGAGGUGGUAGUGAGGACCACCAAAGAGAACAUCCCCUGUCGUGCUGUCGUACUGGUGUCCGUCCGCCCCUCCCCCACCACCCCUCCAGGCUCAGAGUGCAGCUGCUGUGCAGAGGACAGCUCUCCUGCCCCGCCCAGCCCGGGGGCACCCUGUGCGGUCCAGAGGCCACGGCCUGCUGUGCAGGCUGCAGAAGGGAUGCCCACCCCGGCCUCAUCAACCAGAUGCCGAACUCCAAAAGCUGUUCCGACGGCUCAGAAGCAGCGGCUGCAUCUCCAGGAAGGACUUGGGGCAAUGAGGUGACAUCGUGAAGAAUCUGGGUAGUGGAGCCACACUGAUUCGGAUUGGUCCUGGAAGGAAGAAAACUGAGAGACGGAACCGAAACCCAGCUGCCCAACAUCCCGUCCCCUAGCCAGGCUUUUCCGCCUGACUGACAGCAGCAGUUCACUCCAGGAGGAGCCGUUGAGUCCCAUUUGCAUGUUUUUCCAGGACUCGCAGAACCAGCCUCAUGGUUUCCCCUCAGGGACACCAGCACCACCAGCUGGCACCCCUUCCCCAAAGGUCUGGUUUCACCUCUGCGGCUGUCCUCCAAGCUUCUUGUUCUGACAACUGCAACCUUUUCCCUGUGUGCCUCCAGCCCCAGGGAAGCCCCACUGCUUCCUGGUUGUGACUGAGUGAAGCUGUGACACCUCAGCCUUCUCUCUGCCUUCUCAAUGCUUCAGAACCUAAUUAACACUUCUUGGUACUACAGUCUCUCUGUUAAAGUGACCGCAGUGGUUUCUGGGUCUGUCUGGACCCUGACUGACACACUCGCGGGUCCUCCGCCCCCAGGUUCACGGUGACCCAGCCAGAAGCAGCCGCCAGACCCCCACACGGCUGCCCUGCCUCAGCUCUAAGGAGAAACAGCUGCUUCGGCCCCCUUUCGGGAAUCCUGUGACUAGAGAGGGAUGUGCUGCUCGCAGGGAUAACUCAUCAGCCCUGGAAAACUGGGCCAACAGUUAAACCACAC